AGGACGAACGCUGGCGGCGUGCUUAACACAUGCAAGUCGAGCGAGGCCCGUCCUUCGGGACGGUGCCCUAGCGGCGAACGGGUGAGUAACACGUGGGCAACCUGCCCCUAGCACUGGGAUAACUCCGGGAAACCGGGGCUAAUACCGGAUAUGACCUUUGAGGGCAUCCUCGAAGGUGUAAAGGAUUCUGGCUAGGGAUGGGCCCGCGGCCUAUCAGCUUGUUGGUGGGGUAAUGGCCUACCAAGGCGACGACGGGUAGCCGGCCUGAGAGGGCGACCGGCCACGACUGGGACUGAGACACGGCCCAGACUCCUACGGGAGGCAGCAGUGGGGAAUAUUGCACAAUGGGCGAAAGCCUGAUGCAGCGACGCCGCGUGAGGGAUGACGGCCUUCGGUUGUAAACCUCUUUCAGCAGGGACGAAGCGAAAGUGACGGUACCUGCAGAAGAAGCCCGGCUAACUACGUGCCAGCAGCCGC
rnacentral:rRNA from 1 species